rnacentral:tRNA from 1 species
GCCUGGGUGGCUCAGCGGUUUGAGCACCUGUCUUCAGCCCAGGGUGUGAUCUUGGAGACUCGGGAUCGAGUCCCGCAUCAGGCU